UAAACGACUCUCGGCAACGGAUAUCUCGGCUCACGCAUCGAUGAAGAACGUAGCAAAACGCGAUACUUGGUGUGAAUUGCAGAAUCCCGUGAACCAUCGAGUUUUUGAACGCAAGUUGCGCCCGAAGCCUUUUGGCCGAGGGCACGUCUGCCUGGGCGUCACAC
rnacentral:rRNA from 1 species